rnacentral:rRNA from 1 species
UACGAAGGGGGCUAGCGUUGCUCGGAAUCACUGGGCGUAAAGCGCACGUAGGCGGAUUGUUAAGUCAGGGGUGAAAUCCUGGAGCUCAACUCCAGAACUGCCUUUGAUACUGGCGAUCUCGAGUCCGGGAGAGGUGAGUGGAACUGCGAGUGUAGCGGUGAAAUGCGUAGAUAUCGGAAGGAACACCAGUGGCGAAGGCGACUUCCUGGACCAUUACUGACACUGAGGCGCGAAAGCGUGGGGAGCGAACAGG